UGGGGUUAAUCCGCGAUAGGUGUAAUGUCCUGGAAUGGUAUUACGCCUAAAGGUGUAUCAUACAUGUUUGAUAUACGCCUAAGGAUGGGGCUGCGGCCGAUCAGGCUGUUGGUGAGGUAAUGGCUCACCAAACCUUUGACCGGUACGGGCCAUGAGAGUGGUAGCCCGGAGAUGGACACUGAGACAAGGGUCCAGGCCCUAAGGGGCGCAGCAACCGCGAAACCUCCACAAUGCACUCACGUGCGAUGGGGCUAUCUCGAGUGCCACCUGAUGAAGGUGGCUUUUCCUAGGUCUUCAAAGCCUUGGGAAUAAGAGGGGGGCAAGACUGGUGUCAGCCGCCGCGGUAACACCAGCCCCUCGAGUGGUGGGGAUGAUUAUUUGGCCUAAAGCGUCCGUAGCCGGCCGAGCAAGUCUUCCGUUAAAUCCAGCGUCUCAAGCGUUGACUGCGGGAGAUACUACACGGCUAGAGAGUGGGAGAGGUCAGCGGUAUUCUGGGGGUAGGGGCGAAAUCCUUUGAUCCCCGGAGGACCACCAGUGGCGAAGGCUGCUGACUAGAACACGUCUGACGGUCAGGGACGAAAGCUGGGGUAGCGAACCGGAUUAGAUACCCGGGUAGUCCCAGCCGUAAACGAUGCAUGCUAGGUGUUGGGUUGGCCACGAGCCACCCCAGUGCCGCAGGGAAGCCGUUAAGCAUGCCGCCUGGGAAGUACGAUCACAAGAUUGAAACUUAAAGGAAUUGGCGGGGGAGCACCACCAGGCGUGAAGCCUGCGGUUUAAUUGGAGUCAACGCCGGGAACCUUACCGGGAGCGACAGCAGAAUGAAGGCCAGAUUGAAGAUCUUGCCAGACGAGCUGAGAGGAGGUGCAUGGCCGUCGCCAGUUCGUGCCGUGAGGUGUUCUCUUAAGUGAGAUAACGAACGAGACCCGUGCCACAUGUUGCCACCAGUAUCUAAAGGAUAGCUGAGCACUCUUGUGGGACCGCAGCCGAUAAGGCUGAGGAAGGUACGGGCAACGGCAGGUCAGUAUGCCCCGAAUCUCCCGGGCCACACGCGGGCUGCAAUGGUACAGACGGAGGGCUGCCACCCCGAAAGGGGGAGCCAAUCCCUAAACUGUACCUCAGUUGGGAUCGAGGGUUGCAACCCACCCUCGUGAACAUGGAAUGCCUAGUAACCGCCAGUCAUCAUCUGGCGGUGAAUACGUCCCUGCUCCUUGCACACACUGCCCGUCGAACCACCCGAAUGAGGUUUGGGUGAGGAAUGGUCGAAUGUUGGCCGUUUCGAACCUGGGCCUCGUAAGGAGGGUUAAGUCGUAACAAGGUG
rnacentral:rRNA from 1 species